rnacentral:piRNA from 1 species
UCCUGAGCUUGCAGAGAGUCCUUACC